rnacentral:rRNA from 1 species
UAAUUGGUGACUUGUAUGAAGGAUUGGAUGAGAUAUAAACUGUCUUAAAAAUAUUUUAUUGAAAUUAAUUUUUUAAUUAAAAAGUUAAAAUAUAUUAAAAAGACGAGAAGACCCUAUAGAGUUUUAUAUUAUUAUUAUUUAAAAUUGUUUAUAAAUUUAGAUUAUUUAUAAAUUAUAAUAAUAUUUUAUUGGGGUGAUGAAAAAAUAAAUUUAACUUUUUUUUAUAAAAAUUCAUAUAUAAGUGAAUAAAUGAUCCAAUUUUAUUGAUUAUAAGAAAAAAUUACCUUAGGGAUAACAGCGUAAUUUUUUUUUUUAGUUCUCAUAAGAAAAAGAGUUUGCGACCUCGAUGUUGGAUCAGGACA